GGAGAGUUACUCAAGUGGUCGAAGAGGCGCCCCUGCUAAGGGUGUAGGCGUAGCAAUGCGCGCGCGGGUCCAAAUCCCGCACUCUCCGCCA
rnacentral:tRNA from 1 species